rnacentral:rRNA from 1 species
AUUGAACGCUGGCGGCGUGCUUAACACAUGCAAGUCGUGCGGUAACAGGCGUAGCAAUACGUGCUGACGAGCGGCGAACGGGUGCGUAAUACAUGGGAAUCUGCCUUUUAGUGGGGAAUAACCCGGCGAAAGCCGGGCUAAUGCCGCAUAAGAUCUUCGGAUGAAAGCGGGGGAUCGUAAGACCUCGCGCUGAUAGAUGAGCCCAUGCCGGAUUAGCUAGNGGUGAGGUAACGGCUCACCAAGGCGACGAUCCGUAGCUGGUCUGAGAGGACGGCCAGCCACACUGGGACUGAGACACGGCCCAGACUCCUACGGGAGGCAGCAGUGGGGAAUAUUGGACAAUGGGGAAACCCUGAUCCAGCGACGCCGCGUGUGUGAAGAAGGCCU